rnacentral:sRNA from 1 species
UUUUUACUUAUUUAUGUUUGCAUUUUAUGUUUAACGUACUUAAAACUUUUUUUGGUAUUUUGUGAAGACAAAUCCAUAUGCUGUUUGGUUAAUGUAUACAGAACACAUUGUGAAAUACAGAUUAUAGAAGAUUCCUCUCAUAGGAAAUUACUGCUUAUAGAAAUGCUGGACAUUUUCAAUAGUGAUUUUGCCUUUAACUUGAAUUGUAGCUUUGGACUUGAAGCUACUACUAAAGGUAACAGGAAUUUUAACAUGCUGACAGUUAAGUACUCAAACGUGUUAACAAGUUACAUUUUAACUUUUACACUGGUAAUUUUUAAAAUUACUUUGUUACUUGGAGUGAAAGAUUAGUAACCUGUAUAACAGUUUUCCAAAUCAAUUGUCAACUGAAAAUGUGAUAACACCAAUUGACGUCUUGUUCUGUGUCUUAGCUUGAUGAAGAAAUCUCUGGAAUUGUGGAAGUGGUUGGAAGAGUAACCGCCAAGGCCACCAUCUUGUGUACAUCUUAUGUCCAGUUUAAAGAAGAUAACCAUCCUUUUGAUCUUGGACUUUACAAUGAAGCUGUGAAAAUUAUCCAUGAGUUCCCUCAGUUUUAUCCUUUAGGGAUUGUGCAACAUGAUUGAUCUUGAUGGAUUUUC